AGAGUUUGAUCCUGGCUCAGAAUGAACGCUGGCGGCAUGGAUUAGGCAUGCAAGUCGAACGGAGAGGCCUCGCAAGGGGCCGAUCAGUGGCGAAAGGGUGAGUAACGCGUGAGUAACCUGCCCCCGAAACCGGGAUAACUCCGGGAAACCGGAAUUAAUACCGGAUGUGGUCACCGCUCUGCAUGGAGUGGUAACUGAAGGCCGAAAGGUCAUUCGGGGAGGGGCUCGCGUCCGAUUAGCUAGUUGGCGGGGUCACGGCCCACCAAGGCGAAGAUCGGUAGCUGGUCUGAGAGGAUGGUCAGCCACACUGGGACUGAGACACUGCCCAGACUCCUACGGGAGGCUGCAGUCGAGAAUCUUCCGCAAUGGGCGCAAGCCUGACGGAGCGAUGCCGCGUGGGGGAUGAAGAUCUUCGGAUUGUAAACCCCUGUCACCCGGGACGAAGCAUGUGACGGUACCGGGAGAGGAAGCCACGGCUAACUACGUGCCAGCAGCCGCGGUAAUACGUAGGUGGCGAGCGUUAUUCGGAUUCACUGGGCGUAAAGGGUCCGCAGGGGGUUUGCCAAGUCUGAUGUGAAAGCCCGCGGCUCAACUGCGGAACGGCAUUGGAUACUGGCGGACUAGAGUGCACGAGGGGUGAGUGGAAUUCCUGGUGUAGCGGUGGAAUGCGUAGAUAUCAGGAGGAAUACCGACGGCGAAGGCGGCUCACUGGCGUGCAACUGACCCUCAGGGACGAAAGCGUGGGGAGCAAACAGGAUUAGAUACCCUGGUAGUCCACGCUGUAAACGGUGCGCACUAGAUGCAGGCGGAUCUGAUCCCGUCUGUGUCCAAGCUAACGCGUUAAGUGCGCCGCCUGGGGACUACGGUCGCAAGACUAAAACUCAAAGGAAUUGACGGGGGCCCGCACAAGCGGUGGAGCAUGUGGCUCAAUUCGAGGCAACGCGAAGAACCUUACCUGGGCUUGACAUGACCCUGACCGGCGUGGAAACACGUCCUCUCUUCGGAGCAGGGCCACAGGUGCUGCAUGGCUGUCGUCAGCUCGUGUCGUGAGAUGUUCGGUUAAGUCCGGCAACGAGCGCAACCCGUGUCGUCAGUUGCUAACAGGUAAUGCUGAGGACUCUGGCGAGACUGCCCGUGUCAAGCGGGAGGAAGGCGCGGAUGACGUCAAGUCCGUAUGGCCCUUACGCCCAGGGCUGCACACGUGCUACAAUGGGUGGUACAAUGGGACGCAAGACCGCGAGGUGGAGCAAAUCCCCAAAACCGCCCCCAGUUCAGAUUGGAGUCUGCAACUCGACUCCAUGAAGCCGGAAUCGCUAGUAAAGGCGUAUCAGCUACGACGCCUUGAAUACGUUCCCGGGCCUUGUACACACCGCCCGUCACAUCAUGGAAGCUGGCUGCACCCGACACUCUCAAUCCAACCCGCAAGGGAGGUAGGGAACUAAGGUGUGUCCAGUGACUGGGAUGAAGUCGUAACAAGGUA
rnacentral:rRNA from 1 species